rnacentral:rRNA from 1 species
UAGGGAAUCUUCGGCAAUGGACGAAAGUCUGACCGAGCAACGCCGCGUGAGUGAAGAAGGUUUUCGGAUCGUAAAGCUCUGUUGUAAGAGAAGAACGAGUGUGAGAGUGGAAAGUUCACACUGUGACGGUAUCUUACCAGAAAGGGACGGUUAACUACGUGCCAGCAGCCGCGGUAAUACGUAGGUCCCAAGCGUUGUCCGGAUUUAUUGGGCGUAAAGCGAGCCCAGGCGGUUAGAUAAGUCUGAAGUUAAAGGCUGUGGCUUAACCAUAGUACGCUUUGGAAACUGUUUAACCUGAGUGCAAGAGGGGAGAGUGGAAUUCCAUGUGUAGCGGUGAAAUGCGUAGUUAUAUGGAGGAACACCGGUGGCGAAAGCGGCUCUCUGGCUUGUAACUGACGCUGAGGCUCGAAAGCGUGGGGAGCAAACAGGAUUAGAUACCCUGGUAGUCCACGCCGUAAACGAUGAGUGCUAGGUGUUAGACCCUUUCCGGGGUUUAGUGCCGCAGCUAACGCAUUAAGCACUCCGCCUGGGGAGUACGACCGCAAGGUUG